UUCCAAGAUAUAUAUUGCCCGACACCAACAAGAAAACAUAGAUCUUCGCAGACAUCAAUUAAAAUUUUCAGAUAUUCUAGAUCAUGAUCCCACAAGACAACUAAUACCUUGAAUCUUUUAAGAGAAAAUUUAUUUAAAUUUUUAAGUGCAGACAUGUAAAAAUAAAUAUAUACAUUAAUUUAUAUAACAUUCCCUCUAUAUACAUUUGAUAUUUACACACUCCCAAUAUUACUUUAUACAAUUUAUAUUUCGCGGAGAAUCUCUGCAAAUCAGUCUAAAUCCUAAGAAAAAUGCAGUCGUAAUGACGCAUAUUAAAAUCACAUGUAUGCUUAUAGAUUUGUAUAUGAUUUAUGGAUAUUUAAAAAGCUAACAAUUGUAUAGUAUAGUAAAGUCUCCGAAAUGUUUUGAAUGUUUUUGGGCAGUUGUCUUCUGUUAGUCUAUAAUUUCUCAGCAAAAUUUUGUAUGGAAGUUUAUAGCUCUCAAAGUUGUUCGUCCAAAUAGGCACACCGUCCAUACGCAGUCUAGCUCUUCUCUUACUUGGGAUGUGCGCGAAAUAGUCUUAAUUCCUGACCCAGAAAUUCGGACACGUACGAUCCUUCACUGCGAACGAUUCCACAUAUUCAUUCCUUCAUCUCUUCAUCCUUGUCCAAAACGCUUUCUAGUCCCUUAAUAUACUCCAUCGCCAGAACGAGAAUUUCAAGUUCGCUCAAAUUUUUUGAAUUGACGAUUUCUUGCGGUAGCGUCUUCAUCAGGGCAGCAAAUGCUUCGUUUAUCGUAUCUUCGCGCUGAAGAGGCCAUGUGUUGGAAUCGAGGACGUUAUCCUCGGAAUAAUUGUCUAUUUUGUUCCACGAUUCCUCGGUAAAUCCCAGCUCAGUUUGAGUCAGCAUCCUGGUAUAUAGUAGGUAUAUGGUUAACAAAUGCUUGGUAAGAUAAAACAAGUCAAAUUUAAGACUUGAAGACGACAAAAUUAUUAGCGGGAUCCAAUGCUUCUUUCCCUCUCGACUGGCAGCUUCGAACUGACAAUUUUUAUAUUGGCCAGCUGUAUUUAAGUAACCUGUCUGUUGUUUUGAAUUGUGAAGCCCGUAAUCUCUCUAUUGUUUGGUAACCCCCGCGUUCUUGAAUAAAGAGCUAUUUUAAUAUCGCAUCGGAUGCUUCUAGUGAGAGCUACGCGCAAUUAGACUCGCCAAUUUGGUUUGUAAAAUACCAUCCAAAACUCACGAAAACAGAGCUAAGACGAUCUGAACGAGUAUAUCGGAUCUCUUAUAAAUGUAAGCCAGAUUUAUGAACGUUUCUUCCUGUAAUGUCGAGGUAAUACAUACAACAUAACACAGGCAUCGACUGGUGUAUUUCAAGCAAGAGUUUCAAUUCAACUCUAAGUACACACCCGUCAUUUGUAAACAAAAGAGAGCAGUUGAACCGGAACUUAUGACCAGUUAACCUAAGUCUUUCUUUUCUCAGCUGUUCAAAUUUAUAGAGUCAGU